AUGCUGCUCGUCGCGGCGGACAGGUAUGAACUGGAGAAGCUGAAACUGGUCUGCGAGGAGGCACUGUGCCGGCACAUCGGCAUGGGCUCCGUGUUUGCCACUUUGGCGUUGGCCGAGCGGCACGGCUGCCCCGUGUUGAAGGAGGCAUGCAUGCGAUUCCUGUCUUCCCCCGGUAAUCUGGAAGCUGUCAUGGCAAUGGAUGGGUUUGAGCAGCUAAAGAAAGAUUGCUCCUCUGCUCUCUUGGAGCUUGUCGUCAACAAGAUGGUGCAACAAAGCUCCUCUGCUCCCUCGGGGCUUUAA
rnacentral:rRNA from 1 species